rnacentral:rRNA from 1 species
UACGUAGGGUGCGAGCGUUAAUCGGAAUUACUGGGCGUAAGGAGUGCGUAGGCGGUUGCUGAAGUCCGCUGUGAAAGCCCCGGGCUCAACCUGGGAAUGGCAGUGGAAACUAGGCGACUUGAAUCUGGCAGAGGGGGGUGGAAUGCCGCGUGUAGCAGUGAAAUGCGUAGAGAUGCGGCGGAACACCGAUGGCGAAGGCAGCCCCCUGGGCUGAGAUUGACGCUCAGGCACGAAAGCGUGGGGAGCAAACAGG